CAGCCGCCCCGCGUCCUCCUGGGCAUGAAGAAGCGAGGAUUCGGGGUCGGGCUGUGGAACGGCUUCGGAGGGAAAGUGCAGCCGGGGGAGAGCAUCGAGGAUGCGGCGCGGAGGAAUAUCAACAAGAAUUAGUUCAGGCAUCAGAUUGCAGUACAGCUCUGAAGGAUGGGACCCAUGAAACUGGUGCCAGAGAAAGCUGGAGCCUUAAAGGUCGUUUCCGCUUUGAAACUGAUGGGUUUGUGCCAAAUGUACAGCUAUGAGAUUCAUUAACCUUAUCUGCAGGUAGUUCCAAGUGUGCCGUACCUUUGUACAGUACAAUAACCAGGACAAGUCCCAAGGCCUCUUAGCAGCAGGUUAAAAAACCCCAACAUCAGUGUGUGGGACAGGCAGAAACAGGGACCUGAAGAGCUUCAAGAGGCCACACGUGGUGAGGCCUUGAAAAGAACUGCUUGGGAAUCUCUCCAUUUGCUCUUAAAAGACUCAUCUCCAGCCUCUCUUACACGGACUGUUCUGAGGAGCAGAAACUGAAGGCGUAUGUGACUGUUUUGUGGUUUUCAAACAGCUUUUAACAGUGAGCUCACACACUGUAUAGUAUUACUUAAGUGAGCUUCACUUUCCCUCAGAAGCCGCUGAUUUUUGUAGCAGCAUAAAUGAGAUGAUCUCAUAUUCCUUAUCUGUGUCACCACAGUUAUCAAAGCUUUCGCCUGAAGUUGGCAAAGUCUAGAGCUUGUCUACACAAAGCACGUCUCAAAGUUCACAUGCCACAUCCACCUCCAGCAAUAGCACAUAAGCAUUAACCCAUUGCUAAGUCACAUCAGCAAAGACCAUCCUCAUGCAUGGAAUGAACCUGCCAGGUCAUCUUUGGGGGAGCUCCUGGAAGAGAGUGGGCUGACUGUGGACACCCUGCAGAAGAUGGGUCAGAUCACUUUUGAAUUUGUAGGCAACUCUGAACUCA